ACACCCAACUCUGGGGUUCCCGUGUGAAUAAAGAUUUGUGUUCCUGCUCCGCCACGAGUUCCUGGUCUCUUCUCUCUCCCGCAACGCACCCCGACACAUGGCACUAACAUUAAAGCUAUAUUUGGAGACUCCACCCCAUGGACAAGGAAAACAAAAACAAGAUUGAACAAAUGAGACUAUAUCAAACUAAAAAGUUACAUCACAGUGGGAUUACAUCACACACACACACACACACAAAACCAUAAGAAUAAACAGGAAACCUAGGAACUGGGAGAACAUAUUUACACACUAUACUUCAGACAAGUGGUUGAUAUCAAACAGCUAUAAAGAACUCAUACAUCUCAACAAAAAGAAAAAGAACCCAAUUUUAAAAAGUGGGCAGAAGAUAUGAAUAGACAGUUCUCUAAAGAGAUACCCACCUUUGACCUUCCACCUUCUG